rnacentral:lncRNA from 1 species
CUGGCAAGUCCUGAUAAUGGACACCACUCCACUCUCCACUACAAGCUCCACGUGGUCCUGAACGACCCCUGACGCCACUACUCCAUAACAAACUCCACGCAGUUCUGAGCGAUCCACUACCAGAUGGUUGCAGGCAUCGCUGUCGGUCAGUUAUACCCUCCAUCUAUAAAUAAGGAUCCCCAGAUACAUUCUUCUCUAAGCUGGUAACUCUGUCUCG